rnacentral:lncRNA from 1 species
AAAUACAUUAUGAAUUUUGUCGAGUUCCGGUGGUAAAGCCAAUCGGUAAGCAACUGGUCCAAUUCUUUCUAUAAUCUCAUAUGGUCCGAUAAAUCUUUGACUCAAUUUACCCUUUCGACCGAACCGGAGAACUUUCUUCCAAGGAGACACUUUUAAGAAUACUUUAUCACCCACCUGAAAUUCAAUCUCCCUUCGUUUAAGAUCAGCGUAUGACUUCUGACGAUCGGAAGCUG